ACUCCUGCGGGAGGCAGCAGUGGGGAAUUUUGGACAAUGGGCGAAAGCCUGAUCCAGCAAUGCCGCGUGAGUGAAGAAGGCCUUCGGGUUGUAAAGCUCUUUUGUCAGGGAAGAAACGGUGAAAGCUAAUAUCUUUUGCUAAUGACGGUACCUGAAGAAUAAGCACCGGCUAACUACGUGCCAGCAGCCGCGGUAAUACGUAGGGUGCAAGCGUUAAUCGGAAUUACUGGGCGUAAAGCGUGCGCAGGCGGUUUUGUAAGUCUGAUGUGAAAUCCCCGGGCUCAACCUGGGAAUUGCAUUGGAGACUGCAAGGCUAGAAUCUGGCAGAGGGGGGUAGAAUUCCACGUGUAGCAGUGAAAUGCGUAGAUAUGUGGAGGAACACCGAUGGCGAAGGCAGCCCCCUGGGUCAAGAUUGACGCUCAUGCACGAAAGCGUGGGGAGCAAACAGGAUUAGAAACCCUAGUAGUCCCA
rnacentral:rRNA from 1 species